rnacentral:rRNA from 1 species
UACGUAGGGCGCAAGCGUUAUCCGGAAUUAUUGGGCGUAAAGAGCUCGUAGGCGGUUUGUCGCGUCUGCUGUGAAAGACCGGGGCUCAACUCCGGUUCUGCAGUGGGUACGGGCAGACUAGAGUGCAGUAGGGGGAGACUGGAAUUCCUGGUGUAGCGGUGAAAUGCGCAGAUAUCAGGAGGAACACCGAUGGCGAAGGCGGCUCUCUGGGACGGUACUGACGCUGAGACGCGAAAGCGUGGGGAGCGAACAGG